AUUGGUUUAUUUUUGGGAACUAUUCUUCAAAACGAUCUUAAAUAUAAUAUAAUACAACAAACUAUAAAUAUUGAUUGAAUAAUAAAGAUUAAAAAUUAUAUUAUAAAUUAAAAAGUAACGAUAAAAGUAACUAUUAAAUUCGUUACCGUUACUAAAAGAAUGUAACUACGUUACCGUUACAAUUACAAAAAAUAAAAAUUAACGCCGUUACUAAUUCGUUACCAAAAAAAAGUAGCUGUAACGGUAACGCCGUUACAAGUAACUCGUUAGUUCCAAUCCCUGUUGUUAUUACUUUAUUACUUAAUUACAUUUAUUUUACAUUUUUAUUUGUAAUCUGAUUAAUGCAAUAAAUAUAAAUGAUUUAUUUAAAUAUAGAAUGCAUAAUAUGUAUAAGAUAAUAUUUUAUUUGCAUAAGUCCGGGUCUACAAUAGAUAUAGUAAGUCUUAAGCCGUAAGAAAUUAACCAACUAUGAUCGAUUAUUCUCCUCAUACUCAAUUAUGAUUGGACAAUUUCUUAAGGCUUAAGGCUUACUACAUCUAUUGUAGAUUGGGACUAAUGUUGUACUUGUAUUUUAAAGUUUUAAUAAGUCAUGGUCCAUUUUUACAAGCGUUUUAAAGCGAUUUCGUUAUCCAAAUUCUUUUUACUUACAAUUGCCACGGCGGAAACUUUUAUGUGUGAUUUCUCGUUUAUGACAUCACAAUUUCAAUAUGGCCGCGGCGAGUAAACAAUAGGCGUAUUCUUUAACUUUUAACAACAGCCAGGGAUAUCGUUACGUGUUGUUGCGCAACUUUUCUACCAUGUAUAAUAUGUGCGCAACGACGCUGUAAGGAUAUCGAAUUGUCGUUACGAAGUUAGAGAAUACAGGAGCCUUAAUAGGAUGUCCACUAUCGGAAAAAAUAUAGAAAAUCAGGAAUUUGAAACUAUAUUCUGGAAACAGGGAUUUUCAUGGGAAUUUUUUAAGUUUUGUUUCUAAAUGACGUUCAAACACAAGAAAAUUCUUCUGCAAAAAAAUAUUAAAAAA